AACCGUUCGGGGUAAACGUGAGAAACCCGAAAUUGCACAACCGGAGAGAUUCACGCCCAUCCGGUGCUCGGACUUCUUGAUGGCCAGAUGGGGCCGCGCGCCCGCACGGAGUAAUCCGUGACGGAGUCGUUUGCGGUUACCUGUCCACUCGGCUGUCGGAUGUUUUUCGGGCUCGGUGGGCCGCAUUUCUCUCCACGUUGGACGUCGCGACCCGUUGGGUGCCGGUCUAAGGCCUGGGACUGAGCCUGCCCGAUCGCUUUGCGUGACGGGUAGCAGCCCGGUGUUCCCGGCCGGCGGCUCGACGGUAUGAUCGCGCGGAGUUGAUUCGCCGCCUCUCGGGGUGGGCGUCCGGCCCUCGGCAAGCGUUUGCGCGUGGUUUCAGAUGACGGACCUCCGGUCCGGCUCUGGCCCCGCAGCGCUGUUAGCCCGUUGUGUGUCUCGGACGGAAGAAUCGUAGACUCCGGUCAGCGGCGCUAAAGCUUUGGGUAAUUUCACGACCCGUCUUGAAACACGGACCAAGGAGUCUAACAUGUGCGCGAGUCAUUGGGCUGUAAAACCCAGAGGCGUAAUGAAAGUGAAGGUCUCGCCUUGCGCGGACCGAGGGAAGAUGGAGCACGCGUCAGCGUGUCUUCCGCAUUCCCGGGGCGUCUCGUUCUCAUUGCGAGUUGAGGCGCACCCAGAGCGUACACGUUGGGACCCGAAAGAUGGUGAACUAUGCCUGGCC
rnacentral:rRNA from 1 species